rnacentral:rRNA from 1 species
GGAAUAUUGGACAAUGGGGGCAACCCUGAUCCAGCCAUGCCGCGUGAGUGAUGAAGGCCCUAGGGUUGUAAAGCUCUUUCAGCGAGGAGGAUAAUGACGUUACUCGCAGAAGAAGCCCCGGCUAACUUCGUGCCAGCAGCCGCGGUAAUACGAAGGGGGCUAGCGUUGUUCGGAAUUACUGGGCGUAAAGCGCGCGUAGGCGGACUGGAAAGUUGGGGGUGAAAUCCCAGGGCUCAACCCUGGAACUGCCUCCAAAACUAUCAGUCUAGAGUUCGAGAGAGGUGAGUGGAAUUCCGAGUGUAGAGGUGAAAUUCGUAGAUAUUCGGAAGAACACCAGUGGCGAAGGCGGCUCACUGGCUCGAUACUGACGCUGAGGUGCGAAAGUGUGGGGAGCAAACAGGAUUAGAUACCCUGGUAGUCCACACCGUAAACGAUGAGAGCUAGUUGUUGGCAGGCAUGCCUGUCGGUGACGCAGCUAACGCAUUAAGCACUCCGCCUGGGGAGUACGGUCGCA